rnacentral:lncRNA from 1 species
GUAAGUUCACGUUAACACAGUCAUAGACAUGGAGUUUAAAGUUAUAGGGAAAAGUAUAGGAAAAAAAUGUAUAUAUCAUGAUGGAUUUUUAUAUCGUUUUGAUCAAACCCUCAAAAGUGUAGACCUUUCAUGGAGAUGUUCCUUGAAAAAUUGUAAUGCUAGAAUUAAAACGGACUAUGGGACUACUAAUAGUUUGAGUCAUAAAAGAUGUUGGUGAAGAUUCUUUCCAUCCUAAGGAUUUACAGUCUCAUUCUGCAUGUAUCAAAGGUUAUGUACAGAGUAAGAAGAAAAUCUCAACCGAAUUUGCCGAAGUCAAGAGAAGAUUUUCACACUCUUUUUGAAGGUUAU